UCGCGAAUAGCUCAUUACAACAGCCAUCGUUUACUGGAUCUUAAAUUCCUACUUGGAUAACUGUGGUAAUUCUAGAGCUAAUACACGCAAAAAGCUCCGACUGCAAGGAAGGAGCGCAUUUAUUAGAACAAAACCAAUCGGGCUUCGGCCCGUCUUUGGCGGAUCUGAAUAACUCAGUUGAUCGCAUGGUCUCGCACCGGCGACGUAUCUUCCAAGUGUCUGCCUUAUCAACUUUUGAUGGUAGUUUAUGCGACUACCAUGGUUGUAACGGGUAACGGAGAAUAAGGGUUCGACUCCGGAGAGGGAGCCUGAGAAACGGCUACCACAUCCAAGGAAGGCAGCAGGCA
rnacentral:rRNA from 1 species